rnacentral:rRNA from 1 species
AACGCAGCGAAGGGCGAUAAGUAAUGUGAAUUGCAGAAUUCAGUGAAUCAUCGAAUCUUUGAACGCACAUUGCGCCCUGUGGUAUUCUGCAGGGCAUGCCUGUUCGAGCGUCAUUACUACCAAAAUUGAGCCUAGCUUAGUGUUGGGGUUCGCAGUUCUGCGGCCCUUAAUAUCAGUGGCGGUGCCUGUAGGCUCUGAGCGUAGUAAUUCUUCUCGCUAUAGAGCCCUAUAAGUAUCUUGCCAGAACCCCCCAUAUUUUUUCAGGUUGACCUCGGAUCAGGUAGGGAUACCCGCUGAACUUAA